rnacentral:rRNA from 1 species
GCUUAAAGGGGCCGUAGCCGGUUUAAUCAGUCUUCCGGGAAAUCUGACAGCUCAACUGUUAGGCUUCCGGGGGAUACUGUUAAACUUGGGACCGGGAGAGGUAAGAGGUACUACAGGGGUAGGAGUAAAAUCUUGUAAUCCCUGUGGGACCACCAGUGGCGAAGGCGUCUUACCAGAACGGGUCCGACGGUGAGGGACGAAAGCUGGGGGCACGAACCGGAUUAGAUACCCGGGUAGUCCCAGCCGUAAACGAUGCUCGCUAGGUGUCUGGAAUGGUGCGACCGUUUCAGGUGCCGCAGGGAAGCCGUGAAGCGAGCCACCUGGGAAGUACGGCCGCAAGGCUGAAACUUAAAGGAAUUGGCGGGGGAGCACCACAACAGGUGGAGCCUGCGGUUUAAUUGGACUCAACGCCGGAAAACUCACCGGGGGCGACAGCAAUAUGUAGGCCAAGCUAAAGACUUUGCCUGAAUCGCUGAGAGGAGGUGCAUGGCCGUCGCCAGUUCGUACUGUGAAGCAUCCUGUUAAGUCAGGCAACGAGCGAGACCCGUGCCCACUGUUGCCAGCAUGUCCUUCGGGACGAUGGGUACUCUGUGGGGACCGCCGAUGCUAAAUCGGAGGAAGGUGCGGGCUACGGUAGGUCAGUAUGCCCCGAAUCUCCCGGGCUACACGCGGGCUACAAUGGUUGGGACAAUGGGUUCCUACACCGAAAGGUGAUGGUAAUCUCACAAACCCAGCCGUAGUUCGAAUUGAGGGCUGAAACCCGCCCUCAUGAAGCUGGAAUCUGUAGUAAUCGCGUUUCAACAUAGCGCGGUGAAUACGUCCCUGCUCCUUGUACCCACCGCCCGU